AAAAAAGACAAACCUGGGUUUCCGUGUCCAACGUUUAACUGUCCGAAUUUUUUUUAUAAUAAGUAUUUUCAUUGUUGUUAGAUGAUAAACAUGAUUAAUACUUUAUACGUGACUUGUCUUUUUUAAUUUUUUUCAUAAUUUUUUCAAAUAAGACGGGCGGUCAAACGUUGGACACGGAAAUCCAGGGUUUGUCUUUUU
rfam:Oryza barthii chromosome 6, whole genome shotgun sequence.